CAUGUAGGCGGUCUGUCAAGUCUGAUGUGAAAGCCCGGGGCUCAACCCCGGAAGUGCAUUGGAAACUGGCAGACUUGAGUACGGGAGAGGAAAGUGGAAUUUCGAGUGUAGGGGUGAAAUCCGUAGAUAUUCGAAGGAACACCAGUGGCGAAGGCGGCUUUCUGGACCGAUACUGACGCUGAGAUGCGAAAGCGUGGGGAGCGAACA
rnacentral:rRNA from 1 species